rnacentral:misc_RNA from 1 species
UUUCCGUAGGUGAACCUGCGGAAGGAUCAUUAUCGUACAAAAUGUGAGGGGCAUGCGAGGGCUGUCGCUGACCCAAAAGUCGUGCACGCCCGAGUGUGUCCUCUUGCAUAAUAAUCCAUCUCACCCUUUGUGCAUCACCGCGUGGGCACCCUUCGGGAUCAUCUUGGAGGGGGGCUCGCGUUUUCACACAAGCCCCCCUUUUAAAAGUGUAGAAUGACCACAUUUAUGCAAUCAAUACAACUUUCAACAACGGAUCUCUUGGCUCUC